AUUGAACGCUGGCGGCAUGCCUAACACAUGCAAGUCGAGCGAGCGGCGGACGGGUGAGUAAUGUGUGGGAAACUGCCUGAUGGAGGGGGAUAACUACUGGAAACGGUAGCUAAUACCGCAUACCAUCAGAUGUGCCCAGAUGGGAUUAGCUAGUGGGUGGGGUAAUGGCUUACCCAGGCGACGAUCCCUAGCUGGUCUGAGAGGAUGACCAGCCACACUGGAACUGAGACACGGUCCAGACUCCGACGGGAGGCAGCAGUGGGGAAUAUUGCACAAUGGGCGCAAGCCUGAUGCAGCAAUGCCGCGUGUGUGAAGAAGGCCUUCGGGUUGUAAAGCACUUUCAGCAGGGAAGCGUUACCCGCAGAGGAAGCAACGGCUAACUCCGUGCCAGCAGCCGCGGUAAUAC
rnacentral:rRNA from 1 species